rnacentral:rRNA from 1 species
GGGGAAUCUUGCACAAUGGAGGAAACUCUGAUGCAGCGACGCCGCGUGAGCGAAGAAGCCUUUCGGGGUGUAAAGCUCUUACGCCAGGGACGAUAAUGACGGUACCUGGAGAAGCAGCUGCGGCUAACUACGUGCCAGCAGCCGCGGUAAUACGUAGGCAGCAAGCGUUGUUCGGAAUUACUGGGCGUAAAGGGUGCGUAGGCGGUUGCCUAAGUUUGGUGUGAAAUCUCCCGGCUUAACUGGGAGGGUGCGCUGAAGACUGGGCGACUUGAGUAUGGGAGAGGAAAGCGGAAUUCCUGGUGUAGCGGUGAAAUGCGUAGAGAUCAGGAGGAACACCUGCGGUGUAGACGGCUUUCUGGACCAAGACUGACGCUGAGGCACGAAAGCGUGGGUAGCAAAC